AUGCAGUCGAGCGGUAGAGAGAAGCUUGCUUCUCUUGAGAGCGGCGGACGGGUGAGUAAUGCCUAGGAAUCUGCCUGGUAGUGGGGGAUAACGUUCGGAAACGGACGCUAAUACCGCAUACGUCCUACGGGAGAAAGCAGGGGACCUUCGGGCCUUGCGCUAUCAGAUGAGCCUAGGUCGGAUUAGCUAGUUGGUGAGGUAAUGGCUCACCAAGGCGACGAUCCGUAACUGGUCUGAGAGGAUGAUCAGUCACACUGGAACUGAGACACGGUCCAGACUCCUACGGGAGGCAGCAGUGGGGAAUAUUGGACAAUGGGCGAAAGCCUGAUCCAGCCAUGCCGCGUGUGUGAAGAAGGUCUUCGGAUUGUAAAGCACUUUAAGUUGGGAGGAAGGGCAUUAACCUAAUACGUUAGUGUUUUGACGUUACCGACAGAAUAAGCACCGGCUAACUCUGUGCCAGCAGCCGCGGUAAUACAGAGGGUGCAAGCGUUAAUCGGAAUUACUGGGCGUAAAGCGCGCGUAGGUGGUUUGUUAAGUUGGAUGUGAAAUCCCCGGGCUCAACCUGGGAACUGCAUUCAAAACUGACUGACUAGAGUAUGGUAGAGGGUGGUGGAAUUUCCUGUGUAGCGGUGAAAUGCGUAGAUAUAGGAAGGAACACCAGUGGCGAAGGCGACCACCUGGACUAAUACUGACACUGAGGUGCGAAAGCGUGGGGAGCAAACAGGAUUAGAUACCCUGGUAGUCCACGCCGUAAACGAUGUCAACUAGCCGUUGGGAGCCUUGAGCUCUUAGUGGCGCAGCUAACGCAUUAA
rnacentral:rRNA from 1 species